AUUAGAGCCAGGCCACCAAGCGACAUACCCUGGGGGCAGCUUGUGCACAGACUCCUUCCCAGGAGACACUGCAGUACCUGCGAGGUGGAGGGAGAGACAAAGAUGGUGCUCGCUAGCCUCCCACUUGUGGAGAAUAUUGCAGCCAGCCUCUAAAAGUUUGGUCAAAUUAGAAUCCUGCCCUUCAGACUGCAGCUGUUGAUAUAAACCAACUGGCCUCUUUCAGGAAAAGACUGGACCUGUUUCAACCUGCCGCUUCUGCCCGGGACACUGUGGUUGGCCUGUUCCUGUCUAAUUCCAUCGUGAUGAUUACAAAACCCAUUUGUGGAGAUGAAGAACACAUUUUAGGACUUACUCUAAAUGCAUGAUCUGUUAUUGAUAUUUCCAACACUUAUAACAACCAUGGGGGUGGUAAGUACUUUU